rnacentral:rRNA from 1 species
AACGAACGCUGGCGGCAUGCCUAACACAUGCAAGUCGAACGAGACCUUCGGGUCUAGUGGCGCACGGGUGCGUAACGCGUGGGAACCUGCCUUGAGGUUCGGAAUAACUCAGAGAAAUUUGAGCUAAUACCGGAUGAUGUCUUCGGACCAAAGAUUUAUCGCCUUUAGAUGGGUCCGCGUUGGAUUAGCUAGUUGGUGGGGUAAAGGCCUACCAAGGCGACGAUCCAUAGCUGGUCUGAGAGGAUGAUCAGCCACACUGGGACUGAGACACGGCCCAGACUCCUACGGGAGGCAGCAGUGGGGAAUAUUGGACAAUGGGCGAAAGCCUGAUCCAGCAAUGCCGCGUGAGUGAUGAAGGCCUUAGGGCUGUAAAGCUCUUUUACCAGGGAUGAUAAUGACAGUACCUGGAGAAUAAGCUCCGGCUAACUUCGUGCCAGCAGCCGCCGUAAAAC